UACGAAGGGGGCUAGCGUUGCUCGGAAUCACUGGGCGUAAAGGGCGCGUAGGCGGCCUGAUCAGUCGGGGGUGAAAGCCUGUGGCUCAACCACAGAAUGGCCUUCGAUACUGUCGGGCUUGAGACCGGAAGAGGUAAGUGGAACUGCGAGUGUAGAGGUGAAAUUCGUAGAUAUUCGCAAGAACACCAGUGGCGAAGGCGGCUUACUGGUCCGGAUCUGUCGCUGAGGCGCGAAAGCGUGGGGAG
rnacentral:rRNA from 1 species